GACGAACGCUGGCGGCGCGCUUAACACAUGCAAGUCGAACGGAAAGGCCUGCUUUCCCUUGUGGAUUGCGGGUACUCGAGUGGCGAACGGGUGAGUAACACGUGAGUGAUCUGCCCCCAACUUGGGUAUAAGCCUGGGAAACUGGGUCUAAUUCCCGAUAGGACUGCAGGGUGGUGCCUGUGGUGGAAAACGAUUUUCUAGUGGUUGGGGAUGAGCUCGCGGCCUAUCAGCUUGUUGGUGGGGUAAUGGCCUACCAAGGCGGCGACGGGUCGCCGGCCUGGGAGGGUGGACGGCCACAUUGGGACUGAGAUACGGCCCAGACUCCUACGGGAGGCAGCAGUGGGGAAUAGUGCACAAUGGGCGGAAGCCUGAUGCAGCGACGCCGCGUGGGGGAUGACGGCCUUCGGGUUGUAAACUCCUUUCGACCGCGAGGAAGCCACCUGGUUGGAAGGGUGGUGACGGUAGUGGUAGAAGAAGCACCGGCUAACUACGUG
rnacentral:rRNA from 1 species